rnacentral:rRNA from 1 species
UACGGAGGGUGCGAGCGUUGUCCGGAAUCACUGGGCGUAAAGGGCGCGUAGGCGGCCACUGCAAGUCAGUUGUGAAAUCUCCGGGCUUAACCUGGAACAGUCGGAGGGGACUGCCGGGCUAGAGGACGGGAGAGGAGCGCGGAAUUCCCGGUGUAGCGGUGAAAUGCGUAGAGAUCGGGAGGAAGGCCGGUGGCGAAGGCGGCGCUCUGGAACGUUUCUGACGCUGAGGCUCGAAAGCGUGGGGAGCAAACAGG